GACGAACGCUGGCGGCGUGCCUAAUACAUGCAAGUCGAACGCUGAAGGAGGAGCUUGCUUCUCCGGAUGAGUUGCGAACGGGUGAGUAACGCGUAGGUAACCUGCCUGGUAGCGGGGGAUAACUAUUGGAAACGAUAGCUAAUACCGCAUAACAGUAGAUGUUGCAUGACAUUUGCUUAAAAGGUGCAAUUGCAUCACUACCAGAUGGACCUGCGUUGUAUUAGCUAGUUGGUGAGGUAACGGCUCACCAAGGCGACGAUACAUAGCCGACCUGAGAGGGUGAUCGGCCACACUGGGACUGAGACACGGCCCAGACUCCUACGGGAGGCAGCAGUAGGGAAUCUUCGGCAAUGGACGGAAGUCUGACCGAGCAACGCCGCGUGAGUGAAGAAGGGUUUCGGAUCGUAAAGCUCUGUUGUAAGAGAAGAACGAGUGUGAGAGUGGAAAGUUCACACUGUGACGGUAUCUUACCAGAAAGGGACGGCUAACUACGUG
rnacentral:rRNA from 1 species